rnacentral:lncRNA from 1 species
CUAGUACAUCAAAUGGUCUUCAGGGAAAAUUCUUGAGGAGAUGCACAAACUGCAAACAUGUGUGCAUGUCCGAAGCAAUGUUUGCAAGUUCUGCCAGUGUGACUUCCGAAACAGUAGAGAAUUAAUGAAGAAAGAAGAGGAAGCCCGUUUUCUACUUAAAGGCAAGAAGGCUUUAGAACGAAAUACAGCAAGCCGGGUUCUACGAAGGAUUGAAAAUCAGCACGCACAAGGAAGCUUGAUGCAGAUAAACUUACAUUAGGAUCAGAAGGUGAUAGCGAUAAUGCCUUGGAAAAAAAUCCUGACGAGCUACAAGUGCAGCAGGUGCAUAAAGUC